rnacentral:lncRNA from 1 species
UGGAUGCCAGUCGGAUUCAUUUCUGCUGAGCCACAAGGGGAACUCCUGUAUAUGUACAUUUUGAAGAUAGCUGAGAUGAUUCCCAUAGGAACAAUUUCUAGAAGUGGAAUAAAGUGAUGAUAAUAAAAGUAUCUGUUCCAGAGAGUGGAUGUAAGGAAAAUGAGAUCAAAUGAAUUAAACCACUCACAACAGUGUUUGGUACAUGCCAAACAGUCAAAGAAUGUUAGGUGUGAUUGUUGAAAUUAUGUUCCACUUGAUAAAUAUUUAGAAAUAACAUUCCAGUGGACUCCUUUUCAUUUUUUUUCAUUUUUUCAAAGUUUUUUUUGAAGUAGGGUUGAUUUACAAGGUUGUGAUAAUUUCUGCUGUAAAACAGAAAUUAGUUAUGUAUACAAACAUCCAUUCUCUUUCAGAUUUUUUUUCCCAUAUAGAUUAAUAGAUUAUCACAGAAUAUUAGCUAGAGUUCCCUGGUCUUUUUUUUUUUUUUUUUUUAAGGCCACACCUGAGGCAUAUGGAGGCUCCCAGGCUAGGGGUCGAAUCAGAUCUGUAGCUGAUGGCCUAUAACACAGCCACAGCCAUGCAGGAUCCAAGCUGCAUCUGUGACCUACACGACAGCUCAUGGCAACGCCAGAUCCUUAACCCACUGAGUGAGGCCAGGGAUCAAACCCUCAUCCUCAUGGAUACUACUCAGGCUUGUUACCACUGACCCAUGACUCCCUCUGGUCAUUCUUAAUAUAAGCAUGUCAUCAAACAUUUUAAUAGUGGUUAAAAUAUUGUGAACCACAACACUAAGCUUUGUGAAGGACAUCUGAGGGAAGAGAUGGGCUUCUGGCAAGAAGAGAUUAAAGAAACCAGCAACGGGCCCUUUGAAGAGUGGAUUAAAGGAGUGAGAAAUAGCCUAGAAAGAAAUGAUGAGACAAAUGUCACCAUUUCAUCUGAUGCACUUGGAUAUUUGGAUGAUUCUUCAAUCCCAAAAGCCAUGCAGCUAUUGUCACAAGGUACACCGGCUGGGACCAGGCCUACAGGUGGCAGGCAGCAGUAUCCACAGCAAGGCCCAGGGAGACAGGCUCAAUGGCCAGGGUUGGGAU